rnacentral:rRNA from 1 species
AUUGAACGCUGGCGGCAUGCCUUACACAUGCAAGUCGAACGGUAACAGGUCUUCGGAUGCUGACGAGUGGCGAACGGGUGAGUAAUACAUCGGAACGUGCCCGAGAGUGGGGGAUAACGAGGCGAAAGCUUUGCUAAUACCGCAUACGAUCUCAGGAUGAAAGCAGGGGACCGCAAGGCCUUGCGCUCACGGAGCGGCCGAUGGCAGAUUAGGUAGUUGGUGGGAUAAAAGCUUACCAAGCCGACGAUCUGUAGCUGGUCUGAGAGGACGACCAGCCAAACUGGGACUGAGACACGGCCCAGACUCCUACGGGAGUCAGCAGUGGGGAAUUUUGGACAAUGGGCGCAAGCCUGAUCCAGCCAUGCCGCGUGCAGGAUGAAGGCCUUCGGGUUGUAAACUGCUUUUGUACGGAACGAAAAGACUCUGGUUAAUACCUGGGGUCCAUGACGGUACCGUAAGAAUAAGCACCGGCUAACUACGUGCCAGCAGCCGCGGUAAAAC